rnacentral:lncRNA from 1 species
AUGAAAGCCAAACGACCAAAAUCCAGGAAGAGUGCUCAGUUCGUGGAUUUUCUCAUUUGCUUUCGUAGAUAUGAGAGAUUGUGUUGCUCAGGUGUUCAAGCUGGCACUGAGUGUAACCCCCAUGGUGGCAAGCUCCCCUGCUCCUUUCAGGUGUUUUGCUGGUGGGAUCAUCCAUGUUGCAGGAGACUCUCUGAGCCCCAGCAAGGAUCGCUCAGCACCAGCACUGGAAGCAGUCCGGUCCCACUGCCCUCUGAAACAGCAUUGCAACCACAGCUAAAUGGUAGCUCAGCUCCUCUCAGCUUUAUCUUUUAG